rnacentral:rRNA from 1 species
AACGAACGCUGGCGGCAGGCUUAACACAUGCAAGUCGAGCGCCCCGCAAGGGGAGCGGCAGACGGGUGAGUAACGCGUGGGAAUCUACCCAUCUCUACGGAAUAACGCAUGGAAACGUGUGCUAAUACCGUAUACGUCCUUCGGGAGAAAGAUUUAUCGGAGAUGGAUGAGCCCGCGUUGGAUUAGCUAGUUGGUGGGGUAAAGGUCUACCAAGGCGACGAUCCAUAGCUGGUCUGAGAGGAUGAUCAGCCACACUGGGACUGAGACACGGCCCAGACUCCUACGGGAGGCAGCAGUGGGGAAUAUUGGAUAAUGGGCGCAAGCCUGAUCCAGCCAUGCCGCGUGAGUGAUGAAGGCCCUAGGGUUGUAAAGCUCUUUCACCGGUGAAGAUAAUGACGGUAACCGGAGAAGAAGCCCCGGCUAACUUCGUGCCAGCCGCCGCCGUAAUAC